CCCUGCUGCCUUCACCUGCCAG
rnacentral:miRNA from 1 species